GGGCGUGAGAGACCUCAAUUCGUCUCUUCCGUGUCAAAUACGGGUUGAAGAGGAACUCCUUUUCUAACUCCAGGGUCUGGUACCGGCUCAGCAGCCUCUUCACUGAUGGCAGCAAAUGAAUGCGCUGGGAGGUCAGCCUAGGUAACCUCAACAGCGGCUGGGAAUAACAGGGAAGCUCCAUCCGAGGGAAUGAAGUAAAUCCGGAGCUCAGAGAGAGAGCGACUUCGGGUGAAAGAGAGGAGAAGUGAGGCAGGGAAUGCUGAGCUCCUUUUGUGCGUUUGCCAUCGGGCUUCGCCUGUAGAAAAGAACCCCAAAAAUGCCCCGUCGGCAUUUUUGGUUCCCCGUAGGAUUAUUUUAUUUUAUUUUAUUUGUUGGGGGGGGGGAGGGUGGUGUAUUUUGUUUCUGCGUUCCGUUGUUGGCAGUGCCCCUUUCCCCCACUUUUUUUUUGCACCGCGCUGUCUGGCUUUGGAAGCUUCUUUUUUUUUUUACGAUCUCACGAAGGAAUUCGGCUCAUUAAAAAAAAAAAGAAAAAGAAAAAGAAAAUUUACCUCCAACCAUCGGGAUUCGCCUUAAUUUCUCGAGGUGGGGUCGGUGGGGGGACGAAGGGGGAGGGAACAGUUUGCAAAGGAGAAUUCUGAGCCGCCAAAAAGAAUCCACUCCACUCGUGUCCGUGGCACCGCGCUGCUAUCAGCGCUCCCCUCUGUACAAACCUUCACCGUUUCCCUCACGUCCUUCCAACCCCAAAUCAGCAGCCUCAUCAUUUUGGGUUCUGUGUUGGAGGGGGAGAUGUGUGUGUGUGUGGAGG